rnacentral:rRNA from 1 species
UGGGGAAUAUUGGACAAUGGGGGAAACCCUGAUCCAGCCAUGCCGCGUGUGUGAAGAAGGUCUUAGGAUUGUAAAGCACUUUAAGUUGGGAGGAAGAGCAGUUAACUAAUAUUUGACUGUUUUGACGUUACCGACAGAAUAAGCACCGGCUAACUUCGUGCCAGCAGCCGCGGUAAUACGAAGGGUGCAAGCGUUAAUCGGAAUUACUGGGCGUAAAGCGCGCGUAGGUGGUUCGUUAAGUUAGGAGUGAAAGCCCCGGGCUCAACCUGGGAAUUGCUUCUAAAACUGGCGAGCUAGAGUAUGGUAGAGGGUGGUGGAAUUUCCUGUGUAGCGGUGAAAUGCGUAGAUAUAGGAAGGAACAUCAGUGGCGAAGGCGACCACCUGGACUGAUACUGACACUGAGGUGCGAAAGCGUGGGGAGCAAACA